rnacentral:sRNA from 1 species
UUCUGUUUCCUGCUGCUUUCUUGCUUCAUAUUUGAAGGGAGGAUUCAGACCUAUCCAGUUUUUCCAGAGGCCUCAAAUACAGCCUCCUAGAGCUACCAUCCCGAACAGCAGUCCUUCCAUUCGUCCUGGUGCACAGACACCCACUGCAGUGUACCAGGCUAAUCAGCACAUCAUGAUGGUUAACCAUCUGCCCAUGCCGUACCCAGUGCCCCAGGGGCCUCAGUACUGUAUACCACAGUACCGUCAUAGUGGCCCUCCUUAUGUUGGGCCCCCACAACAAUAUCCAGUUCAACCACCUGGGCCGGGUCCUUUUUAUCCUGGACCAGGACCUGGGGACUUCCCCAAUGCUUAUGGAACGCCUUUUUACCCAAGUCAGCCAGUGUACCAGUCAGCACCUAUCAUAGUG